rnacentral:rRNA from 1 species
GAUGAACGCUGGCGGCGUGCCUAAUACAUGCAAGUCGAGCGAACAGACGAGGAGCUUGCUCCUCUGACGUUUGCGGCGGACGGGUGAGUAACACGUUGAUAACCUACCUUUAAGACUUGGAUAACUUCGGGAAACCGGAGCUAAUACCGGAUAAUAUAUUUAACCGCAUUGUUUAAUAGUGAAAUACGGUUUUUCUGUCACUUAUAGAUUGAUCCGCGCCGCAUUAUCUAGUUGGUAAGGUAACGGCUUACCAAGGCAACGAUGCGUAGCCGACCUGAGAGGGUGAUAGGCCACACUGGAACUGAGACACGGUCCAGACUCCUACGGGAGGCAGCAGUAGGGAAUCUUCCGCAAUGGGCGAAAGCCUGACGGAGCAACGCCGCGUGAGUGAUGAAGGUCUUCGGAUCGUAAAACUCUGUUAUUAGGGAAGAACAAAUGUGUAAGUAACUAUGCACGUCUUGACGGUACCUAAUCAGAAAGCCACGGCUAACUACGUG